rnacentral:rRNA from 1 species
UACGGGAGGCAGCAGUGGGGAAUCUUCCGCAAUGGACGAAAGUCUGACGGAGCAACGCCGCGUGAGUGAUGACGGCCUUCGGGUUGUAAAGCUCUGUUAAUCGGGACGAAAGGCCUUCUUGCGAAUAGUGAGAAGGAUUGACGGUACCGGAAUAGAAAGCCACGGCUAACUACGUGCCAGCAGCCGCGGUAAUACGUAGGUGGCAAGCGUUGUCCGGAAUUAUUGGGCGUAAAGCGCGCGCAGGCGGAUCAGUCAGUCUGUCUUAAAAGUUCGGGGCUUAACCCCGUGAUGGGAUGGAAACUGCUGAUCUAGAGUAUCGGAGAGGAAAGUGGAAUUCCUAGUGUAGCGGUGAAAUGCGUAGAUAUUAGGAAGAACACCAGUGGCGAAGGCGACUUUCUGGACGAAAACUGACGCUGAGGCGCGAAAGCCAGGGGAGCGAACGGGAUUAGAUACCCCGGUAGUCCUGGCCGUAAACGAUGGGUACUAGGUGUAGGAGGUAUCGACCCCUUCUGUGCCGGAGUUAACGCAAUAAGUACCCCGCCUGGGGAGUACGACCGCAAGGUUGAAACUCAAAGGAAUUGACGGGGGCCCGCACAAG